AGUGUCCCACAGGCCAAGCCUCUGAUGAGAUCUUUGUCUAAUUGGGUCUUGGGGUGUCCCUUGGAGAGGUACCAUAAGCCGAGAUAGCCGCUCUCUAAGGGGCGAGGGGAGUUAGGGUUGGGCGUGUGUCAGGUGAGACACAUGGAAUAACAGGAGCCUUUCAUUACUCACAGAUCCAUGAGAGAAGCCAGCGCCGAUGAGGGCCAACAGGAAUCCCGGAGACAGCAGGGUGUUCAAGUAGCAGGUAGAGAGUGAGAGAGAGAGGGGACCUGUGGGACCAAGGCCUUUAUGGGGUCCAGGGCGUCACCCAGGCAGGUUUCCUGAGGGGAGUAAUAAUUGGGUUUAGGCCAGGUGCCGGUGGCUCACGCCUGUACUUUGGGAGGCCGAGGCGGGUGGAUCACGAGGUCAAGAGAUUGAGACCAUCCUGGAAAACAUUGUGAAACCCCGUCUCUACUAAAAAUACAAAAAUUAGCUGGGCGUGGUGGUGCGCACCUGUAGUCCCAGCUACUCAGGAGGCUGAGGCAGGAGAAUGGCUUGAACCCGGGAGGCGGAGCUUGCAGUGAGCCAGGAUUGCGCCACUGCACUCCAGCCUGGGUGACAGAGCGAGACUCCAUCUCAAAAAUAAAUAAAUAAAAUAAAAUAAAAUAAAAUAAAAUAAAAUAAAAUAAUUGGUGAGUUUAGAGCAAGCAGGGUCACGCUAUGGCUGAGAGAGGGUCACUGGCCUAUCUGCAACAGUCCAUGCGGGCUGUGGGGUCAGCGGGACCAGUCAAGUGGGCUGUAUGUAGCUGUCCCACAGGGAGGCAGUCACCGGGAGAUGACUGUCUAAGGUAGAUAUCUGGAUUGAGCACAUAGAGGAACUGGGAGGAAG
rnacentral:lncRNA from 10 species